rnacentral:rRNA from 1 species
UAUGGCGACCGGCGCACGGGUGAGUAACACGUAUCCAACCUGCCGAUGACUCGGGGAUAGCCUUUCGAAAGAAGGAUUAAUACCCGAUGGCAUAGUUCUUCCGCAUGGUAGAACUAUUAAAGAAUUUCGGUCAUCGAUGGGGAUGCGUUCCAUUAGGUUGUUGGCGGGGUAACGGCCCACCAAGCCUUCGAUGGAUAGGGGUUCUGAGAGGAAGGUCCCCCACAUUGGAACUGAGACACGGUCCAA